rnacentral:rRNA from 1 species
CUUGUGGAACGAGCGGCGGACGGGUGAGUAACACGUGGGCAACCUGCCUGUAAGACUGGGAUAACCCCGGGAAACCGGGGCUAAUACCGGAUAAUACGUUUCAUCACAUGAUGAGAAGUUGAAAGGCGGCUUUUAGCUGUCACUUACAGAUGGGCCCGCGGCGCAUUAGCUAGUUGGUAGGGUAAUGGCCUACCAAGGCAACGAUGCGUAGCCGACCUGAGAGGGUGAUCGGCCACACUGGGACUGAGACACGGCCCAGACUCCUACGGGAGGCAGCAGUAGGGAAUCUUCCGCAAUGGACGAAAGUCUGACGGAGCAACGCCGCGUGAGUGAUGAAGGUUUUCGGAUCGUAAAACUCUGUUGUUAGGGAAGAACAAGUACCGUUCAAAUAGGGCGGUACCGUGACGGUACCUAACCAGAAAGCCACGGCUAACUACGUGCCAGCAGCCGCGGUAAUACGUAGGUGGCAAGCGUUGUCCGGAAUUAUUGGGCGUAAAGCGCGCGCAGGCGGUCUUUUAAGUCUGAUGUGAAAGCCCACGGCUUAACCGUGGAGGGUCAUUGGAAACUGGAGGACUUGAGUACAGAAGAGGAGAGUGGAAUUCCACGUGUAGCGGUGAAAUGCGUAGAGAUGUGGAGGAACACCAGUGGCGAAGGCGACUCUCUGGUCUGUAACUGACGCUGAGGCGCGAAAGCGUGGGGAGCGAACAGGAUUAGAUACCCUGGUAGUCCACGCCGUAAACGAUGAGUGCUAGGUGUUAGGGGGUUUCCGCCCCUUAGUGCUGAAGUUAACGCAUUAAGCACUCCGCCUGGGGAGUACGGCCGCAAGGCUGAAACUCAAAAGAAUUGACGGGGGCCCGCACAAGCGGUGGAGCAUGUGGUUUAAUUCGAAGCAACGCGAAGAACCUUACCAGGUCUUGACAUCCUCUGAACACGGUAGAGAUAUCGUUUUCCCUUCGGGGACAGAGUGACAGGUGGUGCAUGGUUGUCGUCACCUCGUGUCGUGAGAUGUUGGGUUAGUCCCGCACGAGCGCACCCUUGAUCUAGUUGCCAGCAUU